GCUCAGUUGGUUAAACAUCUGACUUCAGCUCAGGUCAUGCUCUCAUGGCUCGUGGGUUCAAGCCUCACAUUGGGCU
rnacentral:tRNA from 1 species